UACGGGGGGGGCAAGCGUUGUUCGGAAUUACUGGGCGUAAAGGGCUCGUAGGCGGCCAACUAAGUCAGACGUGAAAUCCCCAGGCUCAACCUGGGAACUGCGUCUGAUACUGGAUGGCUUGAAUCCGGGAGAGGGAUGCGGAAUUCCAGGUGUAGCGGUGAAAUGCGUAGAUAUCGGGAGGAACACCAGUGGCGAAGGCGACUUCCUGGCCUGUUCUUGACGCUGAGGCGCGAAAGCUAGGGGAGCAAACGGG
rnacentral:rRNA from 1 species